rnacentral:lncRNA from 1 species
UUGAUCAAUACCUUUAUAUUUAUGAAAUCAAUCAAAACUUAAUUAUUGCUUGUACUUUAUAACAAAACAACGUCUUAGAAUGGAAAAAUAGAUCUAUUCUUAAUAUGAUUUGUACUAUACUAUUUGGAGUUUGUGGAUCCAAAACUUUUUGAAUAUAGGCCACGUAGACCACAAUAUAUAUCUUUAGUUGUAUCUCCACUUAAUGUAAUAUGAAAAUCACCCC